rnacentral:rRNA from 1 species
GACGAACGCUGGCGGCGUGCCUAAUACAUGCAAGUUGAGCGCUGAAGGUUGGUACUUGUACCAACUGGAUUAGCAGCGAACGGGUGAGUAACGCGUGGGGAAUCUGCCUUUGAGCGGGGGACAACAUUUGGAAACGAAUGCUAAUACCGCAUAAAAACUUUAAACACAAGUUUUAAGUUUGAAAGAUGCAAUUCCAUCACUCAAAGAUGAUCCCGCGUUGUAUUAGCUAGUUGGUGAGGUAAAGGCUCACCAAGGCGAUGAUACAUAGCCGACCUGAGAGGGUGAUCGGCCACAAUGGGACUGAGACACGGCCCAAAAUCCUACGGGAGGCAGCAGUAGGGAAACUUCGGCAAUGGACGAAAGGCUGAACGAGCAAAGCCGCGUGAGUGAAGAAGGGUUUCGGAUCGUAAAACUCUGUUGGUAGAGAAGAAAGUUGGUGAGAGUGGAAAGCGCAUCAAGUGACGGUAACUACCCAGAAAGGGACGGCUAACUACGUG